rnacentral:rRNA from 1 species
UGGGGAAUAUUGCACAAUGGGCGCAAGCCUGAUGCAGCCAUGCCGCGUGUAUGAAGAAGGCCUUCGGGUUGUAAAGUACUUUCAGCGGGGAGGAAGGUGUCAAGGUUAAUAACCUUGGCAAUUGACGUUACCGACAGAAGAAGCACCGGCUAACUCCGUGCCAGCAGCCGCGGUAAUACGGAGGGUGCAAGCGUUAAUCGGAAUUACUGGGCGUAAAGCGCACGCAGGCGGUUGAUUGAGUCAGAUGUGAAAUCCCCGGGCUUAACCCGGGAAUUGCAUCUGAUACUGGUCAGCUAGAGUCUUGUAGAGGGGGGUAGAAUUCCAUGUGUAGCGGUGAAAUGCGUAGAGAUGUGGAGGAGUACCGGUGGCGAAGGCGGCCCCCUGGACAAAGACUGACGCUCAGGUGCGAAAGCGUGGGGAGCAAACAGG